UUGUUGCAAAGUAUUUUUUAGUAUUUGUACAAUAUAAACAUGCAAAAACCUUAUUUGUACAAUAUAAACAUGCAAAUAGGGCUCAUUUUAUGAUAGUGUUUAGUAUUUGGUUUCAGACAAAAUAUAUUUUAAAUUUCUCUUGAGUAUGGAAUGGGGAAUUAGGGCAUCAAUUCAGGAAUCUUCCCUUUUUGCAGUUGAAUUUAGUCUAUUAUGAUAAAUUAUGUCUUUCUCUAACGUUGUAUUUGGUCUUUAGCUUGAGAAUCUAAGGAGGAUUAUGAGAAUGGAUUCCUUCUAUUUUUCAUCAAAGCCUUUUCCCAACUAAUUGGGUUGGCUAUGCCUUCUAUUUUUAUUAUUUUAUUGGUACUAUUUUAUUGCAACAUGUACAUAAAUACUUUAAUUUGUUUUUUAGUUUGUUGCAAUGUAUUUUUUAGUAUUUGUACAAUAUAAACAUGCAAAAACCUUAUUUGUACAAUAUAAACAUGCAAAUAGGGCUCAUUUUUAUGAUAGUGUUUAGUAUUUGGUUUCAGACAAAAUAUAUUUUAAAUUUCUCUUGAGUAUGGAAUGGGGAAUUAGGGCAUCAAUUCAGGAAUCUUCCCUUUUUGCAGUUGAAUUUAGUCUAUUAUGAUAAAUUAUGUCUUUCUCUAACGUUGUAUUUGGGCAUUUUGAUUUUGAUCAUAGUUGAGCUGGUGUUCUCUCUUCCUCUCUCUCUGUCUGUCUUUCUCUCAGUGAUUAAUCUUUUAAAUUAGGUCUCCAAUUUGUUUUGACUUUUUGGUAUUUUGGUGAACUUUUCCUUCCCCUCUUUCUUUCUGUCUUUGGUUGAUUUCUGGCAAUUACUCUUGUCAAAUGAGUAAAAAAUGCUCAUAGGAAUUUCAAAUUGAAAAAAGAUUGGGACACGUAAUGUUUUCCUUUAUCUGCAAGUUUUCAUUAACUCUCAGAAAAUUUGUAACCAUAUUAGAAGUUUGAAGCUUUCAGGAGAGGAAAUAUUCACCUCUUACCCCCUCUGUUUUUGUUUGUUCUAUGGUCAUCUAGCUUUUGAGUGAAGUAGCCAAUUGCUUUAUCUCUAGUUUCUUUAUCUCUUGCAGUUUGUUAAUCUUUUAACUAAGCUACCAGUUUCUCUCUCUUUCUUUGUUUCUUUUUCUUUUAGGAUAUUUUUUAAUCAUCCGGCUUGUAAUAUUAGUUCAGUUUUAUUAUAGUUCAAUUGCUGGUUUUCUGACUUCACAUAUUUUCACUCAUGCCAGAAGCAUAACCUGAACUUAGCUGGUUUUUUGUCUAUCAGUCUUGUUUAAAUAUACCACUUCUUUUCAUCCAUUGUGAUGGAUUGAUGGUUUAAUUUUCUGGGUUGUAUUUAGUUUGUACAGCUUCAUUUGUAUUGAGUCUUUGUCAAUUAGUUUCUCCGGAAGCUAGAGUCCUUUCACUUAACAUAUCUCUCUGAGAAUAUAGAGAUUGUAUAUAAUAUGAUUCAAAAUGAAAGUGAAAAACAUGCGGCCAAUGAUUCUCUUCAGAAGCCUGAUGAUGGUGUCCAUCAAUACCCGAUGUGGUCUAAGUCUUCUCCAAGAAACAAUAUGGAGAAGAAUGGCUUGGAAAUGGACGGCUCAAACAGGGAAUAUUCCGCUUUCUAUAGGAAUUCAAGUGAAGAAAUGUUUUUGAAGUCAUUGAUGGACAGUUCAAUUGGUGCAGCAGCCCCAAACAUGGAGAAUAUGGGUUUCAGGACCCUAUCUCAGUCAUUCAGGGGAGAUAGCGAAGAACUCUUCAACAGCUGGCUUCAAAGUGCAGAGCAUCAUGGAUAUGGUUCUGCUAGCAUAGCGCACCGCACUCGACAAGCUUCUCGAAGGAUUUCAACAGAGCUUGCUGGUUUGUCUAAUCAACCACAUGGAGGUACCGUGCAAAACACUAGCAACAACGAGCGCUUAUUGCAAACAAAUACUUCCAUUUCUGGUGAUCUUUUCGGUGACGUCAAUCAACGUACAAAUAAGAAUGGAGCAGAUAAAGGGCUACUGGCAAGCAAUUUGUAUCUAGCUAAGGCAUGGCUUGAAAGUUCUCAUCCAAUGACAAGAAGUAGAUCCUCAGAACUGCGGAGGCGAUAUGCUGCUAUGCAAGGUGUCCAGGUGCCAUCAGGUGAAGGGUCCAGCCAAUGGCCACCUUUUGCGUCAUCAUCAAUGGCUACUGUAGAUGCAGUCUCUUCUGUAGUUAGUAUGUUAAAGGGUACCAUAGAACGCAAGAAGAUGAAGAGUAACCAGAUCAUCAAGGAAACGGUUGAACCAAGUUCUUUCGGAUUUUAUGGGGCCCAAGAAGUUACGGGCUCUAUGAAUUCUGAUAAAAAACCAAUAAUCAAGCAAGUUCCUCAGGCAUCAAGAAAUUUCCAAGUGGCAUCCUCUAAUCCAGUGAAUGACACUGAGAUUUUGCAAACAAUUGACGGACCCUUAGGGCUAGAAAUAGAAGAUUUUUCUGGGCCUACGAAUCAGUUCCAAAUGGGCAAUUUGUAUCAUGAGCCAUCACAAAGUGAAUCAUCAGCUGCUGCUCCUGUACUUUCCAAUGGGAUCGAAAUAUGUGAUGGUCCUACCAAUUCAGGGCAAACAGUAUCUGUAUGCGAGAGCUCAAGGAAACAAGCUGGCAAUGGAAGUCCAGCAUGUAGCUCUAAAGCCAGAGACUAUGGAGAGAGAGCAUGUGAAAGUAAUCUAAAUGAUGAUCUCAAGAAAGGAAAUCAUAUUGUUCGAAUGGGGUCCAUGACAUCAGGAGGAUCAGGCCUGCAGUGGACAAGGGGGACCCAACAAAGAAGCGCAGGGUGGAACGUUCUCGCAAGAUGGCAGAGGCAAAGGGAAAAAGUCAAAUUCCCCCAGUUCCAUCAGACAUGCAAGCUAUUUUGAAGCGUUGUGAGAACUUGGAGAAGGAAGUUCGCUCCCUCAAAUUAAACUUGUCGUUUAUGAACAGGAAGGACUCUGAGCAGACCAAACAAAUAGAAGAGCUGCAGAAGGAAAAUGAGGAUUUAAUGGAUGAAAAAGAGCGCCUUCUACAAGAGAUUGAAAGGAUUAUCGCAGAACCAGGAAGGAGCUAAAACUCAAAAAGGAGAUCUUGCGAUCCAUGAUCAAAGUGCCUUUGGUCUGUGAGAUCAGCUUGUUCCUCAAACUUUGGAUAGAAGUAUGAAUUUAUUCUCAUUCAUUCCAGUUCAUACAGAGAGAGAGAAUGUUAUAUAAGUAUCGUAAAAGCUUCUAAGAAAGGAAGAAGUGAUAAAAUGUUUAUAGAGCACUUCAAAAAUACUAAGUCUCGAGGGAUGUAUCCAUUAUAUUGUGAAUGGGAUUCUGAUUGACCUUCAACAUCAUGUGUAUUUACUCUUUUA